CAGCCGCCGCGGGAAUACGUAGGGAGCUAGCGUUGUUCGGAAUUACUGGGCGUAAAGCGCGCGUAGGCGGUUACUCAAGUCAGAGGUGAAAGCCCGGGGCUCAACCCCGGAACUGCCUUUGAAACUAGGUGACUAGAAUCUUGGAGAGGUCAGUGGAAUUCCGAGUGUAGAGGUGAAAUUCGUAGAUAUUCGGAAGAACACCAGUGGCGAAGGCGACUGACUGGACAAGUAUUGACGCUGAGGUGCGAAAGCGUGGGGAGCAAACAGGAUUAGAUACCCCCGUAGUCCCUGUCUCUUAUAC
rnacentral:rRNA from 1 species